rfam:Gossypium raimondii Chr05_contig_1308, whole genome shotgun sequence.
UAUUAAAAAUAUCAUCUAUUUCUACAGUUAAAAAUUCGCACACUGACUUAAUAACCAAACAAUUACAUGUGACAUGCCACGUAUAUCUCAUUUUGACAUACAAUGACCAAUUUUUAACAGUAGAAACGGAUGAACUAUUUAACA